GACGAACGCUGGCGGCGUGCUUAACACAUGCAAGUCGAGCGAGGCCCCUCCUUCGGGAGGGUGUCCUAGCGGCGAACGGGUGAGUAACACGUGGGCAACCUGCCCUCAGCUCUGGGAUAACUCCGGGAAACCGGGGCUAAUACCGGAUACGACCUCCACGGGCAUCUGCGGAGGUGGAAAGUUUUUCGGCUGAGGAUGGGCCCGCGGCCUAUCAGCUAGUUGGUGGGGUAGUGGCCCACCAAGGCGACGACGGGUAGCCGGCCUGAGAGGGCGACCGGCCACACUGGGACUGAGACACGGCCCAGACUCCUACGGGAGGCAGCAGUGGGGAAUAUUGCGCAAUGGGCGAAAGCCUGACGCAGCGACGCCGCGUGAGGGACGAAGGCCUUCGGGUUGUAAACCUCUUUCAGCAGGGACGAAGCGAAAGUGACGGUACCUGCAGAAGAAGCGCCGGCCAACUACGUG
rnacentral:rRNA from 1 species